rnacentral:rRNA from 1 species
AACGAACGCUGGCGGCAUGCCUAACACAUGCAAGUCGAACGAGACCUUCGGGUCUAGUGGCGCACGGGUGCGUAACACGUGGGAAUCUGCCCUUUGCUUCGGAAUAACAGUUAGAAAUGACUGCUAAUACCGGAUGAUGUCGAAAGACCAAAGAUUUAUCGGCAAAGGAUGAGCCCGCGUAGGAUUAGGUAGUUGGUGGGGUAAAGGCCUACCAAGCCGACGAUCCUUAGCUGGUCUGAGAGGAUGAUCAGCCACACUGGGGCUGAGACACGGCCCAGACUCCUACGGGAGGCAGCAGUGGGGAAUAUUGGACAAUGGGCGAAAGCCUGAUCCAGCAAUGCCGCGUGAGUGAUGAAGGCCUUAGGGUUGUAAAGCUCUUUUACCAGGGAUGAUAAUGACAGUACCUGGAGAAUAAGCUCCGGCUAACUCCGUG